UCCAAAAAUUCAUUUUUUAGUGCACUACCCUUCACUUUUGCUGAAAUAUGGUCCAUUGGUUCAUUUAUCUUGUAUGUGCUUUGAGGCAAAGCACCAGUAUUUCAAGAAGGUGUCCACUGUUGUUUGCAACUUCAAGAACAUCACCAAAACACUUGCUAGAAGACAUCAGCUGAGACAGUGCUGGGAGCAAGCUGAGAAGAAAAGCAUUGGAUAUGAAGUAUGCAAUGCCUCAGGAUCAUCUGAAGUUCCAUCAAACACCCUGCCCUCUUUAGUUCUGGCUACACUGGAAACAAAGAUUGGCAAACGUCUGUCUAAUGAAGUCCCACAAAAAACUAAUUCCAUCACAGUUAAUAAUACAAAUUAUAAAACUGGUGAAUGCAAAGUGAUUGACACUGUACACACUGAAGAGAUUCCAAUAUUCUUCAAGAUCAAGGCAAUAUAUGGAUAUAUUGGUUUGGAAAAAUUCUUACUCCACUUAAAUUUGACAGCCAUCUCCAUGCAUACAAAGUUACUGCAGCAUCUUGGUGUGCCCUUGAAGUAGGGGAUGAGUUAGCUUGCCAUGGACUGGACUCUUAUAAAGAUCAUCCCCUUGCGACACACCAUCACUAAACAUUAGUAAAUAUAUGUUUGCUGCAAUAUAUAAUUCAGCAUGCAAUUUUGUUUACAUGAUCAUCUUUUACUCCUGUUGACCUGUUGUUUUAGAGAUUGAAAUGAAUGGGAAUACGUUAAUCAACCUAACUGAGAAUAUGAUAGUUAAAAUAUUUCCUAAAAUGAAGGAUCAAGUUAAAUUCAUUAGACUACAAAAACAAAUAAAGACUGAAAUGCCUCCCAAGACUACAUACACCAGUCAUGAGACUUCAUCUAGUUGUCCAGUUGGGGCAAUCUCAACACAUUAAGUUGCUCGAACAGGGUGGCCAACAAAUUAUCAGUUACCAAACUUCCCCAUGUCAAUCCAAAAAGGACUUGAUGAGGAAAGUGGAGAUUUUUUUUCUUCAACAGGACGAAGCAAAUGGAGAUCAAAAAUUAUUCAAGCACUGUUUGAUCAGAUGUGUGCAUAUACAUGGUAUCCAACAAGUGACCAAUACAACAAGGUGUGCUUAUCCCUUGUCACCAAAUACCAGUUCUUGAGAGACAAAACUGGAAGGGGAUAUGAGUCAUGGCAUGAAAUGCUUAAAAAUAAAUUCAAAAAUGGAAAGAUUACUCUUAGUUGAGAUCAAUGAGAUAAAGGAAGUUCGAUGCAGGUUCAGCAAAGUAAGGAACCACAAGUUUUCAUCAAGGGUCCAACAGAUACCCCGUGCAGAGGUAAGCAUGUUUGACAAAUUGACACCUUAAUGGGCAAUUAUCAUUUUAAAAUGCUUUUUUUGUUGUUUAUUUUAUAAGACAUGAAUAGGAAGAGGCCAUUGUCUGAAGGGGUAAGUGUUACAAACAGACUGAUCUUCAGGAUUCAGUAAAAAGAGUAAAGUUACUAAAUGCAUACAUUUGUUUUUGCGGGUAGUCUGAGUCAGGGGAAGAUGAUUACAGCAUCGGGGUCCACUUGGAAAAAAUGAAAACAGAAUGCUUGAAAAAAACACCAAAUAUCAAACUUUUAGUGGACUACAUGGCACGGACAAGGAAUGAGAGGACAGACUUCAUAAAACAUAACCCCACAAAGGAUA